GACGAACGCUGGCGGCGUGCUUAACACAUGCAAGUCGAACGAAGAGCGAUGGAAGCUUGCUUCUAUCAAUCUUAGUGGCGAACGGGUGAGUAACGCGUAAUCAACCUGCCCUUCAGAGGGGGACAACAGUUGGAAACGACUGCUAAUACCGCAUACGAUCUGACCUCGGCAUCGAGGAUAGAUGAAAGGUGGCCUCUACAUGUAAGCUAUCACUGAAGGAGGGGAUUGCGUCUGAUUAGCUAGUUGGAGGGGUAACGGCCCACCAAGGCGAUGAUCAGUAGCCGGUCUGAGAGGAUGAACGGUCACAUUGGGACUGAGACACGGCCCAGACUCCUACGGGAGGCAGCAGUGGGGAAUCUUCCGCAAUGGACGAAAGUCUGACGGAGCAACGCCGCGUGAGUGAUGACGGCCUUCGGGUUGUAAAGCUCUGUUAAUCGGGACGAAAGGCCUUUUUGCGAAUAGUGAGAAGGAUUGACGGUACCGGAAUAGAAAGCCACGGCUAACUACGUG
rnacentral:rRNA from 1 species